UACGGAGGAUGCGAGCGUUAUCCGGAUUUAUUGGGUUUAAAGGGUGCGUAGGCGGCCGAGUAAGUCAGCGGUGAAAUUUUGCAGCUUAACUGUAACAGUGCCGUUGAUACUGCAUGGCUAGGAUUUGGUUUGCUGUGGGUGGAAUGUGUGGUGUAGCGGUGAAAUGCAUAGAUAUGUCGUGGAAUACCGAUUGCGAAGGCAGCUAACUGGGUCUUGAUUGACGCUGAGGCACGAAAGCGUGGGGAGCGACAGGA
rnacentral:rRNA from 1 species